rnacentral:rRNA from 1 species
UACAGAGGGUGCAAGCGUUGUUCGGAAUUAUUGGGCGUAAAGGGCUCGUAGGCGGCCAACUAAGUCGGAUGUGAAAUCCCCAGGCUCAACCUGGGAACUGCAUCCGAUACUGGAUGGCUUGAAUUCGGGAGAGGGAUGCAGAAUUCCAGGUGUAGCGGUGAAAUGCGUAGAUAUCUGGAGGAAUACCGGUGGCGAAGGCGGCAUCCUGGACCGACAUUGACGCUGAGGAGCGAAAGCCAGGGGAGCAAACGGG